AGUGAACGCUGGCGGUAGGCCUAACACAUGCAAGUCGAACGGCAGCACAGUAAGAGCUUGCUCUUACGGGUGGCGAGUGGCGGACGGGUGAGGAAUACAUCGGAAUCUACUUUUUCGUGGGGGAUAACGCAGGGAAACUUACGCUAAUACCGCAUACGACCUACGGGUGAAAGCAGGGGAUCUUCGGACCUUGCGCGGUUGAAUGAGCCGAUGUCGGAUUAGCUAGUUGGCGGGGUAAAGGCCCACCAAGGCGACGAUCCGUAGCUGGUCUGAGAGGAUGAUCAGCCACACUGGAACUGAGACACGGUCCAGACUCCUACGGUAGGCAGCAGUGGGGAAUAUUGGACAAUGGGGGCAAGCCUGAUCCAGCCAUACCGCGUGGGUGAAGAAGGCCUUCGGGUUGUAAAGCCCUGUUGUUGGGAGAGAAAAGCAGCAGGUUAAUACCCCGCUGUUCUGACGGUACCCAGAGAAUAAGCACCGGCUAACUUCGUG
rnacentral:rRNA from 1 species